AUUAAGUGUGACCGUCUCCCGACGUCACCCCAUCCGUACAAAUAUUCACACCUAUCACCAGUAUCGGCGACCAUCUAUGAACUUUCUAUCUCUCGACCCCUAACAGGCUACACACACACAAAGAUACCAUUACUUUCCGUCACCAAUAUCGGCGACCCAACCCCUUACCCGUCGGAGUCUCCCUACUAUCACCACUAUCGGCGAUCAACUUACUCCUUCUAGGUAGCGACAACCAAUAUCGGUGUCCCUCUAAUGCUAGCAAUUCAAGGAUAAUACCACCCCAUUCUUACUCCACAACAUUGUCC
rnacentral:lncRNA from 1 species